GACAUAGGGGGUAGAUAACAAUAAGGUGUUACAUUCCUGCACAUUUCAUGGAAACUGAUGGUUAUUCAGCAGGCAUUAGUUACAUGGUAUGCUCAAAAUUGGUGCAAAGCUGCAGCAUGAUUUCGGCGUUAUCUGUUCAGCUCUGCCUGCUGAGUGGCCCAGAGGUUACUGCAGUGAAAAAGUAUGGCCACAAGGCAUCAGUCUGUGGGAGACUGGAUUUUGUCAGCGCUGCUGCUCACAGAGCAGCUUGCUUUGUCAGCCCACAGAAAAUGUUCCCUUCACAGAACUAUUAGUUUGUUUUCUGACAUGUACACAACCCUUGAUACCAAAGGGACGUUUGUAUGACUGCCACAAUUUUUGUCCUUUGCAGGGUUUAUUUAUUCACAAAGACCUGAUGCAGAUGGCAGAUGUGAGGAACGAAUGGGGCACCACUGCAGCUCACUAGUAAUUUGACUUGCUGUUGCUUCUUCAUGACCACACACCAGUUCUGCUGAUCCUAUGGAGCUGACCUUCCCUGCUAUAGAGGCAUCUCUUCGAUCAGCAUACCUGCACCCUGAGAGACUCUGACUGCUGGUUUUCACUCUUGCUGGCAAGAGGAAGCCACUGUGGUUAGGGAAAAGCAAGUUCCUGCAGAGCACUCUCCUGGGGCCCAAGAUGGCUGUUGAUAGCCAAGAAUGCAUUACACUAAAGCAUCACAGGUCCUGGAAAAUCCUAUCAAACUUUAUGGAAAAUGAUAACAUUCCUGCAAGCUUAAUGAACCGUUCCAAAGUUCUUAGGAGCGGUACACCCACUGCUGAAAUGUACGGGUGGUGCACGCAACCUUGCAGAAAAGAUAAAGCUCUCUGACAGUCCUAUGGUGGUAGUCUGGCCGAACUCUCUUUCAUCUCCAACAACCAUAUUCACUCCUAACAUGGUCCUGUAAAUGUUCCGAGCCUCUACG